CGCUCUUUGUUAUCUAAAAAAUAAAGAGUCGGACCUGCCCAGUGAAAAUUUUAACGGCCGCGGUACUCUGACCGUGCAAAGGUAGCAUAAUCAUUUGCCUUAUAAUUAAAGGCUUGUAUGAAUGGUUUGACGAAAUCAGCACUGUCUCUUCUCUAUUUUAUAGAAUUUGACCUAGGGGUGAAGAGGCCCUUAUUGAACUGAAGGACAAGAAGACCCUGUCGAGCUUUAAAAAUAACUAGAAAAUCAGUAUAAAAACUAAAUAAAUUACUAGGUAUUUUUUUGGUUGGGGCGACUAAGGAACAAAAAAAGCUUCCUCUAUUUCUGUAAACUCCGCAAGUUAAAGAUCCAGCUAUGCUGAUCAAAGGAAUUAGUUACCGCAGGGAUAACAGCAUAAUCUCCUUUGAGAGACCGAAUCGAAAAGGGGGGUUGUGACCUCGAUGUUGGACUAGGGUAUCCUGAAGGUGCAGAAGCCUUUAAGGGUUGGUCUGUUCGACCAUUAAAAUCCU
rnacentral:rRNA from 1 species